UUUAAGUAGAAUUUUUUAAAAAAUUUUAAAUUUAUUAUAAUAAAUUAUUUUUAUUAAUUGUUCCCACCUUAUUCCUGAAAUAGUUAUUUUUUAUUUAUCCCCGAACCAAACGAUACCUUAAAGCUUAGUUUGUUUUUUUUUUUAAUUAAGGCUUAGUUUGUUAUUGAGAUUUAUCUGAUAUUAUUAAAUAAAAUAAAAUUAGAAGAAAAAUAUAUAGGGAUAUGUUUCUGCGUUAUCGGUGGAACCAUAAAAAAUAUAUUAUAACAAACUCAUCGUGAUAUGCAGAAUCGAAAAUAAAUAAUAUAUUUUUCUAUCGUAUUUUUUCGUCGCAUGUAAUGUAAUCUCUUCAUAAUUCCAAACAAGCCUAAGUUG
rnacentral:lncRNA from 1 species